GCACCACAGCAACAGCCAUGCUGGGGGAAGGGCAGCACCAGGACCUUUUGCUGCCUCUUGUCUAAAGGCCAGUAGACAGCGUGGCCCUCACUGUUAAGACCCUGCAACACCGAGAUCCCCUAGCCAGAGAAUGAUGGAGCUCACGGAUUCGGAGCUCUGCAACAUCUGCUGGAGACCGCAGCAUACUUUCUCUGAAGAAGUAGAACAGUUGUGCAGAACCAGAGCUCACCUAUGCCAUCCAGACCUGGAGUGAGUUAGCAAGGCUGAGACGAGCUCCACGUAUCUGGUAGAAGUGGGUGGAUAAGGAGGAAACCAGUCUAAGUGGGUGCUGCCACACCCUCCAUUCAACCAACAGCCCAAGAUUGUACUUCAUGGAAUGUUCAAAAACAGUUCUAUCAUUUAAAGUUUAAGUUUUAUCUAUAUUACCACACUAUCAGGAACCAGGAGACACUGAAAGACAGGAGAGAAUGACUUUAAGAAUUGGAAGAUGGAGAGAAGCACCAUGAAAUGCUUCUGUCCAGAUAGGAUGUGACAGGCCAAUUGCAAUGAGGAGCUCACAACAGCUGGAAACAACUGCCCAGCCUGGAAAUCAACAUCCCAUCAUGAAGAAAAAAAGAUGCCCAUGAGACCUCACUCACCUUAACAGUAUUUUACUAUUAGCUUAUUUUUUUCCAAAUAGGACCCUCACUUUCCUGAAAUAGAAGUCAAGAAACUGACAUGUUCAAGCCUUUGGCUGGCGAUAUAUGACCCAGCUUAUGUUAAGGAGACACCUGUGUGAUCUUGAAUUGGAAAGAGAGCAAGGAGAAACAGGUACCACACACCCAGAUUCAAUCUGACAAAGAAGGUGGCAGUGAAUAAAAUGUCAUUGGUCCCUGUU
rnacentral:sRNA from 1 species